AGCUUUGCACAGUGGUAGUAUUAUAACCAAUGAGGCUUAUCUAAGGCAUAAUUAUUGCUAAUUGAAAACUUUUCCCAAUACUCCACCAUGAUGACUUGAAAUAUAGUCAGCAUCGGCAAUUUUUGACAGCCUCUACGGAGA